rnacentral:rRNA from 1 species
GACGGAGGAUGCAAGCGUUAUCCGGAAUGAUUGGGCGUAAAGCGUCCGCAGGUGGCAGUUCAAGUCUGCUGUCAAAGACCGAGGCUUAACUUCGGAAAGGCAGUGGAAACUGAACAGCUAGAGUAUGGUAGGGGCAGAGGGAAUUCCUGGUGUAGCGGUGAAAUGCGUAGAGAUCGGGAAGAACAUCGGUGGCGAAGGCGGUCUGCUGGGCCGUUGCUGACGCUGAGGCGCGACAGCGUGGGGAGCAAACAGG